rnacentral:autocatalytically_spliced_intron from 1 species
ACCCGUCAGGUGACGUACAGAAACCACAUAGAGGCCGGUAGCUCCAGGCGAGUGUCCAUGCGAAUGCGAAGCCGAACCGGAAGACGGAGUGCAGGUAGAUGUGGCACUUGGGCGGGGAUA